GCAUUGCUUCGCAUGUGAUUAUGUUUGUAAAAGCUGUUUUGGGGGCUCGUUCGUUCGUUCCUCUCGCUGCAAGCACUGCCGUUGCCAAUGCCGGUCGUUAAGUUGCCAGUGACUUAUUUGCCUUGUCAGUGUUUAAGUUUAUGCGUGUGGUAUGUGGCCAUGAGAGUGGUUCUUCUCUACUUGGCUUUAAAAAUCGUACACAUUGUACAGCUUUCCACUUGAAUGCAUUUUAACUGCUUCCAUAAUCGAAAAU
rnacentral:lncRNA from 1 species